GUAGCUCACAUAAAGCUAAAAAUAUCUUUAGAGUUCGCUUUCAAGACCCCUCCCCAGGCCAGUCUCACACUCUGCAAGCCAAUGAUGUGUUCCACAAGCAGCAGUGGUUCAACUGUAUUCGAGCUGCCAUAGCCCCUUUCCAGCAGGCCACCAGUCCAGCCGAGCUGCAGGGUUUGCCCGGACUCCAUGAAGAGUGCGUUGAGAACAACCCGUCUGCAGGGAAUGUCAAAACCCAGAGAAGGGCAUCCACAGCAUCCAGUGUGACUCAGGUCGAAGUUGAUGGGGACACUUCAGUGUGUGCCUCCCCUGCGUGCACUCAGACAUGAAGAGUGUCAGAGCGCACCGAGCACAGCCUGGCUUCCCAAAGCCAAGGGACAAAUCUCCAUUGGGUGGCGAAUGGAAAGAGACUUCAGUAUAAAGGAAUUUCUGUGUAUUACUGGUGCAAAGCGUGUUUAUUUAUAAAUGUAUACAGUUUGGGUUUUCUUGUAAUGUGAGCAUGGGAGCAUUGCAGGGUUACUUCAUACUAGUAUUCACAUUUUCUGUUUUUGGUUCUUUUUGUUUUUUUUUAAUGGCAGCUAAAGAUAUAUAUACAGAUUACUGUUAAAACUGCAGCCUUUUUUUUAAGAUAUAUUCUCAUAAUUUGGAACAUGCAAGCCUGGUAUUUUUAAUCAAAUGAAAUAUUUAUGGAAUUGGUUUCUUCUUCACUCUAAAUUCAUUAGGACUUUCCAAUACCUACCUGUUGUGAUAUUUACAAUAUCUACCAAACCUUAAAAUUUUGCAAAUACUGGGAUUUUACCAGUGUUUCUUUGAUAAACUGCAUGUGCAGAAUUUGAAAUUUUAACAUUGGCUCCUAAAACCUACACAGAAUACAGGUGUGUAAUACAUUAGAAUUUAUACUGAAACAUAAGUUCCUUUUGAAACAAAGUAUAAAACUUUAUACAGAUUUUCCACUUUAUCAACUGGAAUACUUUAUAUUAGUUUUUGUCACUCCACAUUCCUCAUUUUCAUUCACUUAACCUGCCAAGUAUUUAAUUAUUUUUUAUUACAAAGUAGUUUUUAGUAUUUACUUCAUUUAUUUAUUUUUUUUUACUUUGCCAGCUUUACAGAUUGGUAGCCUUUAUUUGUCCCCCUUGAUAAAAAUGUGUACAUAUGUGCAUAUAUAUAUAUGUGUGUGUGUGUGUGUGUGUUUUAAAUCAUAUUACCUUUAUCAACUGAAACCAAGCCAUACUGUUUUUGAGCCAAUGAAGAACGUUGUGACUUUUCAGGUGUAGCAGUGCAAGGUGGUGAACACACAUGAACUGUCGCGGUGUAUUCUGGACGACUGAAAGAAAACCACCUGAAGGAUUUGGUUGAGAGCUUUAGUGUUGUCUGAAAAGCAGGAGCAGAGGCAGUUGGCUGCUAAUACAUAAAAAAGAGGG